rnacentral:rRNA from 1 species
UAGAGUUUGAUUCUGGCUCAGGACGAACGCUGGCGGCGUGCCUAACACAUGCAAGUCGAGCGAUGAAACCCUUCGGGGUGGAUUAGCGGCGGACGGGUGAGUAACACGUGGGUAACCUGCCUCAAAGAGGGGAAUAGCCUUCCGAAAGGAAGAUUAAUACCGCAUAAUAUGUUCUGGUCGCAUGACCUAGACAUCAAAGGAGUAAUCCGCUUUGAGAUGGACCCGCGGCGCAUUAGCUAGUUGGUGAGGUAACGGCUCACCAAGGCGACGAUGUGUAGCCGACCUGAGAGGGUGAUCGGCCACAUUGGAACUGAGACACGGUCCAGACUCCUACGGGAGGCAGCAGUGGGGAAUAUUGCGCAAUGGGGGAAACCCUGACGCAGCAACGCCGCGCGAAUGAUGAAGGCCUUCGGGUUGUAAAGUUCUGUCUUCUGGGACGAUAAUGACGGUACCAGAGGAGGAAGCCACGGCUGACUACGUGCCAGCAGCCGCGGUAAUACGUAGGUGGCAAGCGU